UGCCAGUAGUCAUAUGCUUGUCUCAAAGAUUAAGCCAUGCAUGUCUAAGUCCAAGCUGUGUUCACACGGCGAGACCGCGGACGGCUCAUUAAAUCAGUCGUGGUCCAAAUGGGCCAGUGCAAAUCCUACUUGGAUAACUGUGGUAAUUCCAGAGCUAAUACAUGCAACUGAUAUCCCGAAGGCGGUGUUUGGGCUUGCUUGCCUUGCGCUGCGCUGCUCUGACGGAUGCUUUUAUUAGACCAAGCCGCUGAGGACUUGAGGGUUCGCGCUCUCUUGUCUGACUCGUGUGAUGGUGACUCUGGAUAACCAAAUUCUGACAAGCGCACGUACUUCUCUUCUGAGCGAGACGGCGCUGCCACUUUCGAGUGUCUGCCUUAUCAGCUAUCAACCGUUCGUUAUGCGCGACCGAUGGCUUUGACGGGUAACGGGGAAUCAGGGUUCGAUUCCGGAGAGGCAGCCUGAGAGACGGCUACCACGUCCAAGGACGGCAGCAGGCACGCAAAUUACCCAAUCCCAGCAAAUGGGGGAGGUAGUGACGAAAUCUAACGAUGCGGGCGCCCUUUCUGGGGCCCCGCAAUCGGAAUGGGCACUUUCUAAACAACCUGU
rnacentral:rRNA from 1 species